UACAGAGGUCUCAAGCGUUGUUCGGAUUCAUUGGGCGUAAAGGGCGCGUAGGCGGCGGGGUAAGUCGGGUGUGAAAUCUCAGAGCUCAACUCUGAAACUGCACUCGAUACUGCUCUGCUUGAGGACUGGAGAGGAGACUGGAAUUCACGGUGUAGCAGUGAAAUGCGUAGAUAUCGGGAGGAACACCAGUGGCGAAGGCGAUCAUCUGGGGUUGUUCUGACGCUGAGGAGCGAAAGCUAGGGGAGCAAACGGG
rnacentral:rRNA from 1 species